ensembl:lncRNA
GGUGGGUUCUGAGGUCUCAGAAGCUCAAGCCAGGUCUAGCGGCAUUCAUUUCCUGCUGCCUGCAGAUCCUUAUGUAGAACUCUCAGCUACCUCUCCAGCACCAUGUCUGCCUGUGUGCCGUCAUGCUUCCCACUAUAAUGCUAAUGGACUAAACCUCUGAACUGGAGGUAUAUAAGGAAGAAGCAAAGGCUCUCAUGUGAGAUUCAGUUUACAGUCACAGGGAAGACAGGAUCUCCGCUUCAGCCUUGGCAGAGGUUGUCAGGGCAGUGUCAUGGCCACAGCAGAAGUGAAGAUGAGCAGAUGGUGUCAACCUGACAGAAGAGACAGGCUGAGACAUGACCAAAGUGACAGGAGAAUAUGUGGAAGAGUUCGAGGUGACAAUAAUCCUUUUCUGUCGUGGCUUUGCACAGAGACAUUUGAACAUCUGUGUGGGUUAAAAGUUCAGUCAGCAAAAGGAGAGAGCCCCGGGUGGUGGCUAAAGUCAGAGCACUUUGAGCAACCAAGCAAGUCAAGAAGCAUAUUUCAGAAAAUAAAAUAAAACUCUCGGCUAUGGAUGGAAACAAAUGAUGGAAGAAGCCAACUGCCUGGAGAAGAAUUCCAAGUAAUUUUACAUACAUAUUCCAUGUUCAAGGAUGUGGAGUCUAACUCCCCAUUUCUUAACUGUGGGCUGAGAACUGUGAUAUCCUUCCUAAGGACUUAGUGUGGAAAUGGGGGAAAGACCACUUAGAGAGAAGCCAUCUGAUAAACACUUCCUCAGCCAGGGAUGAAGGUCAACAUCACCUGUGAUGGGUUAUGGGGGAAAAAUGUACCCAUGAAAACACAGAAUUCAAAUAUCAUUGGAAUUUUACAGUCUCCGUCAAAAACCCAGAACCACUGAAUGAUUGUGAGAAAAAUGCCCGACAAAUCCAAAUGAAUGCACCUUAUACAAGCAUAGUCAACCACCACUUUUCAAAACAGACAACACACGCACACACCACCACCACCACCACCACCAUCAGGACCACCAGCAGCAGCAGCAUCAGCAGCAACAACAAAACUGAAAAACUGUUAGAGCCAAGAAGAGUCAAAUAAGACAAAAUGACUAAAUGUAACAUGGUAUCCUGUAUGGGGCCCUGGAUCACAUGAAGGGAAUUACAUAAAAUACAAAAACAAUGUGAACAAGUUGUAAAUGUUAC